GAUGAACGCUGGCGGCGUGCCUAAUACAUGCAAGUCGAGCGAACAGACGAGGAGCUUGCUCCUCUGACGUUAGCGGCGGACGGGUGAGUAACACGUGGAUAACCUACCUAUAAGACUGGGAUAACUUCGGGAAACCGGAGCUAAUACCGGAUAAUAUAUUGAACCGCAUGGUUCAAUAGUGAAAGACGGUUUUGCUGUCACUUAUAGAUGGAUCCGCGCCGCAUUAGCUAGUUGGUAAGGUAACGGCUUACCAAGGCAACGAUGCGUAGCCGACCUGAGAGGGGGAUCGGCCACACGGGAACUGAGACACGGUCCAGACUCCUACGGGAGGAAGCAGUAGGGAAUCUUCCGCAAUGGGCGAAAGCCUGACGGAGCAACGCCGCGUGAGGGAUGAAGGUCUUCGGAUCGUAAAACUCUGUUAUUAGGGAAGAACAAAUGUGUAAGUAACUAUGCACGUCUUGACGGUACCUAAUCAGAAAGCCACGGCUAACUACGUG
rnacentral:rRNA from 1 species